CGAUUGUGAAACGCUUAUGUGGAUAAUUAACAGUUUAAAUAAUAAAUCACAGCGCUCUGCAGAUUGAUUUGAAAACAUAAAAUGGGAAGAGUGAACUUGAGUAGAA
rnacentral:lncRNA from 1 species